AGCGAUGAUUGUCACUUUCAUAAUUAAAGUACUGUAAUCAAAUUUGAGUGUUGCUCCAACAUCUUUGUUGAAGUUUACUCUCUUCACCCUACUAGACAUACUGUUAGUAAGUGAGUGUCUGUGUGGGUAGACUCAUGACAAUCUCGAACGAAGAAGACAUCGAAGCCUCGUCGCAGCCUCAUUCUGAAUCUUGAGUAGAAAAAACGAAAUUCCAUGGCGGGGGUUUGGGAUCCGAGGGGUUGGCAACCAUUGCAACUGAUGUUCGUCCCAACCGUCCAAAAGGUCCAUCCAUCCAUUGAAUUUGAAUUGAGCCACGGGCUCAUGAAGGUAUUGGUACAAAGUGGUCAUUCACAGACACCGACGGCUAUAUCCAUCAGACAUCGAAUGUGCCCGAACCUUUGGAGAAUGGAUUGGAUUGCCUUGGGUACCAGUAUGUCUGUGCUUCACCGCAGGUAUCUUGGACUUCAUUUGCAUUCAUCCAUUGUUCAUUUAUCGUUGCCGAUGACCCACUGCCAAACGGACAAGGCAUAGAACGAAUCAGCCCAUGAAGAAAAAGUCACCGACGUACAAAGAAGCAUUUAGGAGUGCGAAA